GACGAACGCUGGCGGCGUGCUUAACACAUGCAAGUCGAACGGAAAGGCCCUGCUUUUGUGGGGUGCUCGAGUGGCGAACGGGUGAGUAACACGUGAGUAACCUGCCCUUGACUUUGGGAUAACUUCAGGAAACUGGGGCUAAUACCGGAUAGGAGCUCCUGCUGCAUGGUGGGGGUUGGAAAGUUUCGGCGGUUGGGGAUGGACUCGCGGCUUAUCAGCUUGUUGGUGGGGUAGUGGCUUACCAAGGCUUUGACGGGUAGCCGGCCUGAGAGGGUGACCGGCCACAUGAGGACUGAGAGACGGCCCAGAGUCCAACGGGGGGCAGCAGGGGGGAAUAUUGCACAAUGGGCGGAAGCCUGAUGCAGCAACGCCGCGUGCGGGAUGACGGCCUUCGGGUUGUAAACCGCUUUCGCCUGUGACGAAGCGUGAGUGACGGUAAUGGGUAAAGAAGCACCGGCUAACUACGUG
rnacentral:rRNA from 1 species